GAUGAACGCUGGCGGCGUGCCUAAUACAUGCAAGUCGAGCGAACAGACGAGGAGCUUGCUCCUCUGACGUUAGCGGCGGACGGGUGAGUAACACGUGGAUAACCUACCUAUAAGACUGGGAUAACUUCGGGAAACCGGAGCUAAUACCGGAUAAUAUAUUGAACCGCAUGGUUCCAUAGUGAAAGACGGUUUUGCUGUCACUUAUAGAUGGAUCCGCGCCGCAUUAGCUAGUUGGUAAGGUAACGGCUUACCAAGGCAACGAUGCGUAGCCGACCUGAGAGGGUGAUCGGCCACACUGGAACUUGGCCACGGUCCAGACUCCUACGGGAGGCAGCAGUAGGGAAUCUUCCGCAAUGGGCGAAAGCCUGACGGAGCAACGCCGCGUGAGUGAUGAAGGUCUUCGGAUCGUAAAACUCUGUUAUUAGGGAAGAACAAAUGUGUAAGUAACUAUGCACGUCUUGACGGUACCUAAUCAGAAAGCCACGGCUAACUACGUG
rnacentral:rRNA from 1 species